rnacentral:rRNA from 1 species
CGCCCUGUUUACCAAAAACAUCGCCCCUCGAUCAUUUUAUUAUAUGAGGGGUCCUGCCUGCCCAGUGACUAUUAGUUAAACGGCCGCGGUAUCUUGACCGUGCGAAGGUAGCAUAAUCACUUGUCUCCUAAAUAGAGACUAGUAUGAAUGGCAAGACGGAGCUUAACUGUCUCCUUUUUUUUCUCAUAAAUUCACUUUCCCGUGAAGAGGCGGGAAUUURCUCGCUAGACGAGAAGACCCUGUCGAGCUUAAAGAAGUUYUURGGYUAAAAUUUACCCUAACRUCUUACUAAUUAAUAKARCUAUAAGAGUKAAGAUUUUUARKCCCAAGRAUACUUUUGGUUGGGGCAACCACGGAGAAAAUAAAUCCUCCGUUUACUAUAUUYWAAAUGUUUAAUAAUAAGAAGWACACUUCUAUAAUAAAUAAARUUUAAUAUSUGACCCGCUAUUUARGCGAUUAAAGGAAUAAGUUACCGCAGGGAUAACAGCGUUAUCUUUUUUGAGAGUUCACAUUGACAAAAAGGUUUGCGACCUCGAUGUUGGAUCGGGACAUCCUAAGAGUGCAGAAGCUUUUAAGGGUUGGUCUGUUCGACCAUUAAAGUCCUACGUGAUCUGAGUUCAGACCGGCGAGAGCCAGGUCAGUUUCUAUCUACGA